GAUGAAGAACGCAGCGAAAUGCGAUAAGUAAUGCGAAUUGCAGAAUCCGUGAGUCAUCGAAUCUUUGAACGCACAUUGCGCCCUUUGGUAUUCCUUAGGGCAUGCCUGUUCGAGCGUCAUUUAAACCUUCAAGCUCAGCUUGGUGUUCGGUGACUGUCCGCUUCACCGCGGACUCGCCUCAAAAUUAUUGGCGGCCGGUACAUUGGCUUCGAGCGCAGCAGAAACGCGAACUCGGGCCCGUCGUAUUGGCUCCCAGAAGCUAUCUUCACAAUUUUGACCUCGGAUCAGGUAGGGAUACCCGCUGAACUUAAGCAUAUCAAUAAGCGGAGGA
rnacentral:misc_RNA from 1 species